ACUACGGGGGGCUGCAGUGAGGAAUAUUGGUCAAUGGACGAGAGUCUGAACCAGCCAAGUAGCGUGAAGGAUGACUGCCCUAUGGGUUGUAAACUUCUUUUAUAUGGGAAUAAAAUGUUCCACGUGUGGGAUUUUGUAUAUACCAUAUGAAUAAGGCUCGGCUAACCCCGUUCCAGCAGCCGCGGUAAUACGGAGGAUCCGAGCGUUAUCCGGAUUUAUUUGGGUUAAAGGGAGCGUAGGUGGGAUGUUAAGGCAGUUGUUAAAGUUUGCGGAUCAACCGUAAAAUUGCAGUUGAAACUGGCAGUCUUGAGUACAGUAGAGGUGGGCGGAAUUCGUGGUGUAGCGGUGAAAUGCUUAGAGAUCACGAAGAACUCCGAUUGCGAAGGCAGUUCACUGGACUGCAACUGACACUGAGGCUCGAAAGUGUGGGUAUCAAACAGGAUUAGAUACCCCAGUAGUC
rnacentral:rRNA from 1 species